UACAGGCUUAACACAUGCAAGUCGAGGGGCAGCAUGGUCUUAGCUUGCUAAGGCUGAUGGCGACCGGCGCACGGGUGAGUAACACGUAUCCAACCUGCCGUCUACUCUUGGCCAGCCUUCUGAAAGGAAGAUUAAUCCAGGAUGGGAUCAUGAGUUCACAUGUCCGCAUGAUUAAAGGUAUUUUCCGGUAGACGAUGGGGAUGCGUUCCAUUAGAUAGUAGGCGGGGUAACGGCCCACCUAGUCAACGAUGGAUAGGGGUUCUGAGAGGAAGGUCCCCCACAUUGGAACUGAGACACGGUCCAAACUCCUACGGGAGGCAGCAGUGAGGAAUAUUGGUCAAUGGGCGAUGGCCUGAACCAGCCAAGUAGCGUGAAGGAUGACGG
rnacentral:rRNA from 1 species